AACGAACGCUGGCGGCAGGCCUAACACAUGCAAGUCGAACGAAGUCUUCGGACUUAGUGGCGGACGGGUGAGUAACGCGUGGGAACGUGCCCUUUGCUUCGGAAUAGCCCCGGGAAACUGGGAGUAAUACCGGAUAAGCCCUACGGGGGAAAGAUUUAUCGGCGAAGGAUCGGCCCGCGUUGGAUUAGGUAGUUGGUGGGGUAAUGGCCUACCAAGCCGACGAUCCAUAGCUGGUUUGAGAGGAUGAUCAGCCACACUGGGACUGAGACACGGCCCAGACUCCUACGGGAGGCAGCAGUGGGGAAUCUUAGACAAUGGGGGAAACCCUGAUCUAGCCAUGCCGCGUGAUCGAUGAAGGCCUUAGGGUUGUAAAGAUCUUUCAGUGGGGAAGAUAAUGACUGUACCCACAGAAGAAGCCCCGGCUAACUCCGUGCCAGCAGCCGCGGUAAAGUCUGUACU
rnacentral:rRNA from 1 species